rnacentral:rRNA from 1 species
GACGAACGCUGGCGGCGUGCCUAAUACAUGCAAGUAGAACGCUGAAGCGAGGAGCUUGCUCUUCUUGGCUGAGUUGCGAACGGGUGAGUAACGCGUAGGUAACCUGCCUUGUAGCGGGGGAUAACUAUUGGAAACGAUAGCUAAUACCGCAUAACAAUGGAUGACACAUGUCAUUUAUUUGAAAGGGGCAAUUGCUCCACUACAAGAUGGACCUGCGUUGUAUUAGCUAGUAGGUGAGGUAAUGGCUCACCUAGGCGACGAUACAUAGCCGACCUGAGAGGGUGAUCGGCCACACUGGGACUGAGACACGGCCCAGACUCCUACGGGAGGCAGCAGUAGGGAAUCUUCGGCAAUGGGGGCAACCCUGACCGAGCAACGCCGCGUGAGUGAAGAAGGUUGUCGGAUCGUAAAGCUCUGUUGUAAGUCAAGAACGGGUGUGAGAGUGGAAAGUUCACACUGUGACGGUAGCUUACCAGAAAGGGACGGCUAACUACGUG